CUAGUUUUUGUCUUAAAAGAUUCAAUUAAAUUGCAUUCUGUUUUUAUAAAUAUUGCCAUUGUUUUGUUAAGUCCAUUUAGAAUUCUUUUGUGAACUAAAAUUUAUUUUAUAAUUAUAUAUAUGUGUGUGUAUAUAUAUAUAUUUGGUCUUGAAAUGUAUUUAAAUGAAGAAAGGGGUCUAAUGCUACAUCGAAAAGAAUUUAAAACAAAAUUUAACUUGUGAAUAUUAACAAUGUUACAUAUCUUUCUUAAAUUGUUCUUUUUGAAAUCCUGUAAUUUUAUAAUAUGAAAUGAUAUGUUGAAAUAUUUUCAUUCGCGCGUAGAUAAUGAGAUUUUGUUUUGACUGUGAAUCUGUGACCCAGAAGAGGAAGGUUGCACUUGCUACUGCAUGUUCAUUGCACUGAUGGGGUUUAUUGUUAGAUUAUGCAUAAUCUACAUGAAACGUUUUGAAAAAAAUUGUCUAUGCUGUAUUGUGCAGCGGAAAUGUAUCCGUCUGGAUGUUAAUGAUAACGACGUAUGCGCAUGCGCACAUUUAUUUUGAAUAUUUUAGUCUGGUUUAUCAUACGUUUUAUAUAGGACACUUGCUAAGAAAAAAAAAAAUAGAACCAGACAUAGGCGCGAAUGCGCAUUCGUUGAGUGGGGCGCACAUGUUAAAAUUCAAGAACGCGCAUGCGCACGUAGGCGCGUUUAUAAUAUAACUAGAAUCUAAAAGAAUAGUUUCUUCUGUAAUAGAUACUUUUAUAAUUAAUUUGAAUAAGAAAAGAUUUUAUCAACAGUUCUUUGCAUAUUAGGUAAAAACUUUAUUAAAUAACUUUAUGUUCUGAGCUGGAAUUUAAAUCGUAAAAAAAAUUUUGGAUGCCAAAAAUAUACCUGUCUCGCGUAUGCUUUACACAAAAUGGACGGUCCGCGUUAUGCGCAUUUUUGAAUAGUGAACGCGCUUUGUUUAUUUGCAUCCUUGAUUCUUAGAAUGUAACUUAGAAAUACAUGUAUUUCAUUGUAAGUGCUGUAUUUCAUUGUAAGUGCUGUGUGUGAUUCGUGAUUUUUGUUCAGUAUAUAAUAUAUACGUAUUUCUUGUGCGGGUUGACCACAUUACUAUGCAGAAAGCGCGGAGCAUGCGCGUGUCACACAACACCUAGUUGACUUUCCAGACAACAUGUGCUUUCCUCGUUUAAAAACUCUGAAUUUAAAUAUUUUGAAUUAAAAGGAAUGGAUAUACUUUUCUGGAAGGCUGGCUCAGAAGUAACUGGAUAUCAUGUGAAUACUUUCAAAAAUGGUCGUCUGCAUGCUGAGGUGUAAAUUUUCCUGGCUGUCUUCUUCCCAGAAUGUUUCCAAAGGUAUUGGCGAGACAGACACGUUAUUAUCCAGCGCUAACUGAUGUCCAGACACGAGAAAAUAACCCCCGAGUGAUCGAAAAAGUAUUGAGAACUUGGAACUGGCAGCUUGUGACGGCCAACACUGAAAAAUAAUUACAAAGGCUGUUUGAGAAGGCCUCUUGAGGAGAAGUUGUAUAAAGUACUGGUGGAGAAGUUGUAAAGUACUGGUGGAGAAAUUGUACAAAGUACUGGUGGAGAAUUAGUACCAAGUCCAUCAGUCUGCUGGUCUUAAAAUUCGAGCCUUGGAAAAUGUUGAGGUAUAAAGAUCUGUAACUAGGAGACAAUGUCCAGUCAGUAGCAAUGGUUAUCAUCAGUAGCCAGCAGACCACUUCUAUUUGGGUAUUAGCAGAAUUCAGUUUCCAGCAAAGGGAUGUCCAUUUUUCAAGAUGCAGUAGACAACUAUUUGUACAAACUGGUGGUUUUGGUUACCAAAAGGCUGCUUUAGCUUAACAGCAGACGACUUUUUGAUCACCGAGGAAUGAUGUAUUGGUUACUACUUUAUGACUGAGUUACUAAGUUACCAGCCAGAUCAGUAGACCUAAGUACUAAUUGAUGAGAAGGAGACUUGGUAAACAGGAAACAUUACACAACUGAGUAGAUAGUGCUUAUUUUUCUGUAAACAGUGCUUGGUAAAAAGCAUACGGCGCUCAGUUUCCACAGGCUGUGCUUGGUAAAUACAUACGUUACUCAAUUUGCAGCUGAUUGUGCUUGGUUAAAAUGAUAUGACUUGGUUUCAAUGUGAUUGCAUUUAACAGCACAGAAUGCACGGGUUUCCAGCAGAUUGUACUUGGUUAACAGCAUGUGUCACUCAGUUUCCAGCAGACAGCAUAUAUCACCCUGUAUCAGGCAGUCUAUGACUUGUAAAUUACGUACAAUGCUAGGUUUCCAGCAGUCUGUGUCUGGUAAAAGCAGAGGACAGCUUCAAGCAAACUGUUCCAGGUAAACAGCAUUCAGCAGGUGGUGUGUCCAGCAGUCUUUGUCUAGUAAACAGCAGAUGACAUUUGGUUUCCAGCAGUCUGUACAUGGUAAACUGCACUUGAAAUAUCAUGAUGGCUCAAAGCGCUGUUAUUAGUAGAAUUAGUAAAAUGUCACAUGACACACAGUAACGGCAGACAACACUGUACUACCGGCAGGCAGCAUCUAAUAAGCCAAGGACAUUACAUAGUUAUCAGGAGACAGUGAACUGCAAGCAGCACUUGGUAAACAGCAGGCAGCACUUGGUAACCAGCAGAUGGCACAUGGUAUCCAGCAGAAGGCACUUUGUAACCAGCAGAUGGCAAUUAUUAUCCAGCAGAAGGCACUUUGUAACCAGCAGACGGCACUUGGUAAACGCAGAUGCACUUGUUAACCAGCAGACGGCACUUGGUAAUCAGCAGAUGGC